AACUUUCAACAACGGAUCUCUUGGCUUUUGCAUCGAUGAAGAACGCCGCGAAAGUGCGAAACGUAAUGUGAAUUGCAGAAUCAGUGAAUCAUCGAAUCUUUGAACGCACCUUGCACUCCUUGGUAUUCCGAGGAGUAUGCCUGUUUGAGUGUCG
rnacentral:rRNA from 1 species